GACGAACGCUGGCGGCGUGCUUAACACAUGCAAGUCGAACGGUGAACUCCGCUUACGGUGCGAUCACGGGCGAACGGUUGAGUAACACGUGGGCAACCUUCGCUCUGUUCUGUUUUAACUCGAAUAAAGUGGGGCUAAUUCCGGUAAUGACCCCUGACCGCUUCGUCUGGAGGCGGAAAGUUUUAGCGGCUGGGGCUGUUCCCUCGGCCGAUCUGCUUUUUGGUAGUGUAGUGGCCUACCAAGGCGACGACGGGUAGCCGGCCUGUGGGGGGGACCGGCCACACGGGGACUGAGAGACGGCCCAGACUCCUACGGGAGGCAGCAGUGGGGAAUAUUGCGCAAUGGGAGAAAGCCUGACGCAGCGACGCCGCGUGGGGGAUGACGGCCUUCGGGUUGUAAACCUCUUUCAGCAGGGACGAAGCGAAAGUGACGGUACCUGCAGAAGAAGCACCGGCUAACUACGUG
rnacentral:rRNA from 1 species